rnacentral:rRNA from 1 species
GGGUUGUGAGGUUAAGCGACUAAGCGUACACGGUGGAUGCCCUGGCAGUCAGAGGCGAUGAAGGGCGUGCUAAUCUGCGAUAAGCGCCGGUAAGGUGAUAUGAACCGUUAUAACCGGCGAUACCCGAAUGGGGAAACCCAGUGUGAUUCGUCACACUAUCAUUAACUGAAUCCAUAGGUUAAUGAGGCGAACCGGGGGAACUGAAACAUCUAAGUACCCCGAGGAAAAGAAAUCAACCGAGAUUCCCCCAGUAGCGGCGAGCGAACGGGGAGGAGCCCAGAGCCUGAAUCAGCAUGUGUGUUAGUGGAAGCGUCUGGAAAGGCGCGCGAUACAGGGUGACAGCCCCGUACACAAAAGCGCAUGUGCUGUGAGCUCGAUGAGUAGGGCGGGACACGUGAUAUCCUGUCUGAAUAUGGGGGGACCAUCCUCCAAGGCUAAAUACUCCUGACUGACCGAUAGUGAACCAGUACCGUGAGGGAAAGGCGAAAAGAACCCCGGCGAGGGGAGUGAAAAAGAACCUGAAACCGUGUACGUACAAGCAGUGGGAGC